rnacentral:tRNA from 1 species
GGCUUGUUAGCUCAGCUGGUAGAGCAUUGGAUUCCAAUCCAAAAUCAUCCAAAUGAUGAAAAUGAAUGUUAAACCAUCCAACGGCCGGGAGUUCGAUCCUCUCACGGGUCA